GCCGGGGUCGCCUAGUCUGGUAGGGCGCAGGCCUGCUAAGCCUGUGGGGCUCUGCCCCUCGUGGGUUCAAAUCCCACCCCCAGCG
rnacentral:tRNA from 1 species